rnacentral:lncRNA from 1 species
AGAUGCAGACAUGGCUGGAUGUUCUUUGCUGGGCUGCUGAGUCAGAAGCCUGGACGGGCCAGCUUCAGUUUUAAUGAAGUGGCUCAGGAAGGAAGUGCUAACAGAGAUGGGUGCACAGUGCAGUCAGUGGGUGGGAGCUGAUGCUGGCUAGAAGACCUGAGUCUUCCGAGAGGCAGCUUGAUUCCUGGAAAAGACUACUGGGCUGGAAGUCAGGAGGCCUGGGGUACUCUCAGCUCUGCCGCUAACAUGCUGCAUGACCAUGGGCUGACUGGAGAACCUGAGGUGCUGUGCAGAGACCAGAGGAAGGCUUUGAUCCCAAGCCUGCAGCCGUAAGAGAAGAACGAGCCCAUGAGUUCCAGCCUGGUCCAGCUCAGCACCUGGCUCACAUUAGGCACUCAGUGAAUGUUGAUGUGAACAAAUGAACUGAUUCAAAGAAGUGUCUCCUGAAGUUGCUUCUUUCCAAUCCAGCUAACAAAUGCAGUAUUCUGAAUGGAGGUACCAGAGAUCACGUCAUCUUCAGCUUUCUGCUGCAGAUCCACAUGAAGAAUCACACAUAUCCUUAAUGUUAGAUAGGACUUUGCAUUGAACACUUUAAAAUGUGAAGUCUGGCUUUGAAGAGGGUGUAUAACACACAUAAUUUACUGUGCAUCAGUCUCACUAAUGGAAAAUAAACAAUAACCCAUAAAUCAAAAAAAAAAAAA